GACGAACGCUGGCGGCGUGCCUAAUACAUGCAAGUCGAGCGGACCAAAGGGAGCUUGCUCCUGGAGGUUAGCGGCGAACGGGUGAGUAACACGUGGGCAACCUGCCUGUAAGACUGGGAUAACAUCGAGAAAUCGGUGCUAAUACCGGAUAAUAAAAAGAACUGCAUGGUUCUUUUUUGAAAGAUGGUUUCGGCUAUCACUUACAGAUGGGCCCGCGGCGCAUUAGCUAGUUGGUGAGGUAACGGCUCACCAAGGCAACGAUGCGUAGCCGACCUGAGAGGGUGAUCGGCCACACUGGGACUGAGACACGGCCCAGACUCCUACGGGAGGCAGCAGUAGGGAAUCUUACCGCAAUGGACGAAAGUCUGACGGAGCAACGCCGCGUGAGUGAUGAAGGUUUUCGGAUCGUAAAACUCUGUUGUUAGGGAAGAACAAGUGCCGUUCGAAAGGGCGGCACCUUGACGGUACCUAACGAGAAAGCCA
rnacentral:rRNA from 1 species